rnacentral:rRNA from 1 species
GACGAACGCUGGCGGCGUGCUUAACACAUGCAGGUCGAACGAUGAAGCUGGAGCUUGCUCUAGCGGAUUAGUGGCGAACGGGUGAGUAACACGUGAGCAAUCUGCCCUUGACUCUGGGAUAACUGCGGGAAACUGUAGCUAAUACCGGAUACUUUCACCGGGGGGCAUCCUCUGGUGAUGAAAGAAUUUCGGUAAAGGAUGAGCUCGCGGCCUAUCAGCUUGUUGGUGAGGUAACGGCUCACCAAGGCGACGACGGGUAACCGGCCUGAGAGGGUGACCGGUCACACUGGGACUGAGACACGGCCCAGACUCCUACGGGAGGCAGCAGUGGGGAAUAUUGCACAAUGGGCGCAAGCCUGAUGCAGCAACGCCGCGUGAGGGAUGAAGGCCUUCGGGUUGUAAACCUCUUUUAGCAGGGAAGAAGCGAAAGUGACGGUACCUGCAGAAAAAGCACCGGCUAACUACGUGCCAGCCGCCGCAGUAA